AUGGCCUCCCUCUCUUCCCUCUUGCUUGCGUCGGUUUUCCUCCUUGCUGGCUCAGCCUUCUUCUACCGCUACGACAUAGGCAGCGGCAACAAGACCGGCGGCACAACCACCACGCACCUUCACUUUUACAUGCACGACGACUACACAGGCCCACGCCCUACCGCGAUGCGCGUCGUGUCCGGGCGGGCCAUAUCCACCGGCGACGACGCCACGGCGCCGCGGCAGUUCGGCGACAUCGUGGUGCUCAACAACGCGCUGACGGUGGGGCCCAGCGGCGGCAGCGCGCGGGUGGGCACGGCGCAGGGCUGGGCCGUCCGCGUGUCGGAGGGCGGCAUCGUAUCGGACCUGACGCUGCACCUGGUCCUCGAGGCCGGCGAGCACCGCGGCAGCUCGCUGACGGCGAGGGGCCGCAUCGACAUGGACGCCACGGUGCGGGAGUCGGUCCUCAUCGGCGGAACCGGACGGUUCCGGUACGCGCGGGGCUACAUGCUCACCAAGAACUACGACUACAGCCUCGCCACCGGCGGCGUCGUCGAGAUCGACGUCUACGUGCAGCACGACUAG
rnacentral:rRNA from 1 species